rnacentral:rRNA from 1 species
GAUGAACGCUGGCGGCGUGCCUAAUACAUGCAAGUCGAGCGAACAGACGAGGAGCUUGCUCCUUUGACGUUAGCGGCGAACGGGUGAGUAACACGUGGAUAACCUACCUAUAAGACUGGGAUAACUUCGGGAAACCGGAGCUAAUACCGGAUAACAUGUUGAACCGCAUGGUUCAACAGUGAAAGACGGUCUUGCUGUCACUUAUAGAUGGAUCCGCGCCGCAUUAGCUAGUUGGUAAGGUAACGGCUUACCAAGGCAACGAUGCGUAGCCGACCUGAGAGGGUGAUCGGCCACACUGGAACUGAGACACGGUCCAGACUCCUACGGGAGGCAGCAGUAGGGAAUCUUCCGCAAUGGGCGAAAGCCUGACGGAGCAACGCCGCGUGAGUGAAGAAGGUCUUCGGAUCGUAAAACUCUGUUAUUAGGGAAGAACAAAUGUGUAAGUAACUAUGCACGUCUUGACGGUACCUAAUCAGAAAGCCACGGCUAACUACGUG